GUAUUGGUGGUUCAGUGGUGAAAUUCUCAUCUUCCAUGCAGGAGACGUAGGUUCAAAUCCUAGCUAAUGCA
rnacentral:tRNA from 1 species